rnacentral:rRNA from 1 species
AGCUCCAAUAGCGUAUAUUAAUGUUGUUGCAGUUAAAAGCUCGUAGUUGGAUUUCUGGUGGGAGCGCCCGGUCGGCUGCGAAAGCGGUUGCACUGGUGGCGUCUCCGGCCAUCCUCGGGGCGAGCGCAUCUGGCAUUCAGUUGUCGGGCGCGUGAACUCCGUCGUUUACUGUGAACAAAUUAGAGUGUUCAAAGCAGGCUUACGCCGUUGAAUACAUUAGCAUGGAAUAAUGAGAUAGGACUUGGGUGGUCUAUUUUGUUGGUUUGCACGCCUAAGUAAUGAUUAAUAGGGGCGUUGGGGGUAUUCGUAUUCAAUUGUCAGAGGUGAAAUUCUUGGAUUUAUGGAAGACGAACUACUGCGAAAGCAUUUUACCAAGGA